rnacentral:rRNA from 1 species
AUGUGUGUCCCGAGAAGCCAAGGCGGAAUGGGUUUUCAUGACAUUCAUUGUUUUAAUUUGGCCAUGCUGGCUAAACAAGCUUGGUGUCUCCUUGAGAACCGAGAUUCCCUGUGUGCCACCAUUUUGCGAGCUUAUUUCCCCGAUGGAGAUUUAUUGAACAUAAAAUUAAAAAAGGGAUCAUCCUUCACAUGGCAAAGUAUUAUGAUGGGGGUUAAUACCUUAAAUCAUGGCUAUAUUUGGCGAGUUGGAAAUGGUCAAAAAAUUGAUAUUUGGGAAGAUGCUUGGAUCCCUAACUAUGCUAACAGAAAAGUCAUUACUCCAAAGGGGCAACAUUUGUUGUCAAAAGUGUCGGGUUUUAUUGACCCCUCUUCGAACAGGUGGGAUGAGGAUCUCAUCAGACAGAUCUUAUGGCCCGUUGAUUCACAGUGGGUCCUUGCUAUCCCUUUGUCUCAGUUUGAUAUGUCAGAUUUUGUUGCCUGGAGUCACACUAAGAAUGGGAUUUUUUCUGUUCGAUCUGCAUAUUUUGUUGAGUGGGAUCAUCAACAUGGAAGGAAACUUCGUCGUACUAAUGAAAUGGGUCAAACAAACUUUAAUCCAAUUUGGUGUAAGAUUUGGAAUUUAUCUUGUCCAGCGAAGGUGAAAUUUUUUAUAUGGUGGACGCUACAUGGUACUCUUUCAUGUCGUGUUACGCUUGCUAAUAGUCACAUGAAAGUUUCUCCUUUAUGCCCUUUUUGCGCUUCUGGUUUAGAAGACACAAAACAUCUGUUGUUUCAGUGCCAGAAGGCAAAAGAGGUCUAGAGAAGGCUUGGCUUAGACGAGAUCAUUGCUUAA